rnacentral:rRNA from 1 species
CAGUCGCCACGGUAAAACGAAGGGUGCAAGCGUUACUCGGAAUUACUGGGCGUAAAGCGUGCGUAGGUGGUGGUUUAAGUCCGUUGUGAAAGCCCUGGGCUCAACCUGGGAAUUGCAUCCAAAACUGGCAAGCUAGAGUAUGGUAGAGGGUGGUGGAAUUUCCUGUGUAGCGGUGAAAUGCGUAGAUAUAGGAAGGAACACCAGUGGCGAAGGCGACCACCUGGACUGAUACUGACACUGAGGUGCGAAAGCGUGGGGAGCAAACAGGAUUAGAUACCCCGGUAGUCCCUGUCUCUUAUAA